AUGGAGGCUUGGGACAAGAGCCGAUCAGGGUGGAGCGCUCUCCUGACUCAGCCACCUGCAAGACUGCAGCAAUAUGAUGGAGUCUCUGUUGCCCAGGCUGGAGUGCAGUGGUGCUAUUUUGGCUUCAGUGGACCCGGAGAGAAUGCCAGACUGGCUGGGAUGGCUGAUAAGGGAGGUGAGUGGUGUCAGAGCAGGCUCCAUACAUUUUGCUUAGAGAAUACACCCCAUGGGAGUACCUUCUUCAGAAAAUAACCAUUGGCGGUGAUAUUUAGAGACUCAAAAC
rnacentral:lncRNA from 1 species